AACGCACAUUGCGCCCACUGGUAUUCCGGUGGGCAUGCCUGUUCGAGCGUCAUUAUCCUCCCUCAAACCUCGUGUUUGGUGUUGGGCCCGAGCUGCUGCGACGCAGCUGGCCUCAAAGACAAUGACGGCGUCCGCGGGACCCUCGGUGCAACGAGCUUUUCGGAGCACGCGUCGAGUUUCAAGGUCCCCCCGGGCCGGUCUAACCCCCCUUUCUUCGUAAGGUUGACCUCGGAUCAGGUAGGAAUACCCGCUGAACUUAA
rnacentral:misc_RNA from 1 species